GUUAAUCUUCCCUAAUGAGAAGGCCACCUUCACUCCAUUAAGAGACAGAUAUAUCAUCAACCUCAUCUUCCAGAUGAAGAAGGCAAUUAUGAAGAAAGCCUGGAAACGGGAGAUACUAACAGGAUGCAAAAGAUGUGACGGGCAGUGCAUGUCUGAAGGGAGAACCCAGCGUGCCAGAGGAAGGUGAGGGAUGCUUAAGGAAUUCACUCUUUGCAAAUUCUGAAAUGGACUGACCUGAUUCCACACCUCCUGGUUUUGUAUCGCUUAGCUGCGUAUGGCUGAGUUGUCCACCAACAUGCACACUUCCCAGAUGUUUAAUAUUUGGCUAAAAUAAAUAAAUCAAAGUAUUUUUUAAAAUGUAUAUUUUGAGAAAAAGCACAUUUCAAAUUCAUAUUUGAAUGUGAACCUUUAUGCAGACUUUUUUUUAAAAAAAAAGGCAAUGAAAAUGGGAUAGAAUGAACAUAUGUGACAGAAAUUGAUUGAUUCUUCUCUCCCCAGAGGUGUACUCUGUUUCUCUUCUGGACAAUGGGGUAACAUGCUUGAAUGGACCAGUUAUAGGCCUUCUUUGUUUCUGCAAAACCCUCGGACUAUCUUUGGAAGGAGACAUCUCAAUUUCUGUAAAUGGG